GACGAACGCUGGCGGCGUGCUUAACACAUGCAAGUCGAACGGAAAGGCCUGCUUUCCCUUGUGGAUUGCGGGUACUCGAGCGGCGAACGGGUGAGUAACACGUGAGUGAUCUGCCCCCAACUUGGGUAUAAGCCUGGGAAACUGGGUCUAAUUCCCGAUAGGACUGCAGGGUGGUGCCUGUGGUGGAAAACGAUUUUCUAGUGGUUGGGGAUGGGCUCGCGGCCUAUCAGCUUGUUGGUGGGGUAAUGGCCUACCAAGGCGGCGACGGGUAGCCGGCCUGAGAGGGUGGACGGCCACAUUGGGACUGAGAUACGGCCCAGACUCCUACGGGAGGCAGCAGUGGGGAAUAUUGCACAAUGGGCGGAAGCCUGAUGCAGCGACGCCGCGUGGGGGAUGACGGCCUUCGGGUUGUAAACUCCUUUCGACCGCGAGGAAGCCACCUGGUUGGAAGGGUGGUGACGGUAGUGGUAGAAGAAGCACCGGCUAACUACGUG
rnacentral:rRNA from 1 species